GUUACUUUAGUGUAAUUAGCACGGUUAACUUCCAAUUAAUAAGAUAAUUAGUAAUA
rnacentral:tRNA from 1 species